UACGUAGGGUGCGAGCGUUGUCCGGAAUUAUUGGGCGUAAAGAGCUUGUAGGUGGCUCGUUGCGUCGGGAGUGAAAACCUGCGGCUUAACCGCAGGCCUGCUUCCGAUACGGGCAAGCUAGAGUUCGGCAGGGGAGACUGGAAUUCCUGGUGUAGCGGUGGAAUGCGCAGAUAUCAGGAGGAACACCGGUGGCGAAGGCGGGUCUCUGGGCCGAUACUGACACUGAGAAGCGAAAGCGUGGGGAGCGAACAGG
rnacentral:rRNA from 1 species